rnacentral:rRNA from 1 species
GCAAGUCGUGCGAGAAAGUUCUUCGGAUAUGAGUAGAGCGGCGGACGGGUGAGUAACGCGUAGGAAUCUACCUAGUAGAAGGGGAUAGCCCGGGGAAACCCGGAUUAAUACCGUAUACCUCCUUCGGGAGAAAGAAGGCCUCUCUUUGAAGCGUUCGCUAUUAGAUGAGCCUGCGUAAGAUUAGCUUGUUGGUGAGGUAAAGGCUCACCAAGGCAACGAUCUUUAGCUGGUCUGAGAGGACGAUCAGCCACAUUGGGACUGAGACACGGCCCAGACUCCUACGGGAGGCAGCAGUGGGGAAUAUUGGACAAUGGGCGCAAGCCUGAUCCAGCCAUACCGCGUGUGUGAAGAAGGCCUUCGGGUUGUAAAGCACUUUAAGCAGGGAGAAAAAGUUAUAAGUUAAUACCUUAUGAUCUUGAUGUUACCUGCAGAAUAAGCACCGGCUAAUUCCGUGCCAGCAGCCGCGGUAAUACGGAAGGUGCAAGCGUUAAUCGGAAUUACUGGGCGUAAAGCGCGCGUAGGUGGUUUGUUAAGUUGGAUGUGAAAGCCCUGGGCUCAACCUAGGAACUGCAUCCAAAACUAACUCACUUGAGUACGAUAGAGGGAGGUAGAAUUCAUAGUGUAGCGGUGGAAUGCGUAGAUAUUAUGAAGAAUACCGGUGGCGAAGGCGGCCUCCUGGAUCUGUACUGACACUGAGGUGCGAAAGCGUGGGUAGCGAACAGGAUUAGAUACCCUGGUAGUCCACGCCGUAAACGAUGACAACUAGCUGUUGGGAGACAAUGUCUUUCAGUGGCGCAGCUAACGCUUUAAGUUGUCCGCCUGGGGAGUACGGCCGCAAGGCUAAAACUCAAAUGAAUUGACGGGGACCCGCACAAGCGGUGGAGCAUGUGGUUUUAUUCGAUGCAACGCGAAAAACCUUACCUACUCUU